rnacentral:tRNA from 1 species
GGAAGAGUGGCAGAGUGGCCGAAUGCGUCUGUCUUGAAAACAGAAGUGCUGAAAGGUACCGGGGGUUCGAAUCCCUCCUCUUCCG